rnacentral:rRNA from 1 species
UACAGAGGUCUCAAGCGUUGUUCGGAUUCAUUGGGCGUAAAGGGUGCGUAGGCGGCGCGGUAAGUCGGGUGUGAAAUCUCGGAGCUUAACUCCGAAACUGCAUUCGAUACUGCCGUGCUUGAGGACUGGAGAGGAGACUGGAAUUUACGGUGUAGCGGUGAAAUGCGUAGAUAUCGUAAGGAAGACCAGUGGCGAAGGCGGGUCUCUGGACAGUUCCUGACACUGAGGCACGAAAGCGUGGGGAGCAAACAGG